rnacentral:rRNA from 1 species
GACGAACGCUGGCGGCGUGCUUAACACAUGCCAGUCGAACGGAAAGGCCCUGCUUUUGUGGGGUGCUCGAGUGGCGAACGGGUGAGUAACACGUGAGUAACCUGCCCUUGUCUUUGGGAUAACUUCAGGAAACUGGGGCUAAUACCGGAUAGGAGCUCCUGCUGCAUGGUGGGGGUUGGAAAGUUUCGGCGGUUGGGGCUGGACUCGCGGCUUAUCAGCUUGUUGGUGGGGUAGUGGCUUACCAAGGCUUUGACGGGUAGCCGGCCUGAGAGGGUGACCGGCCACAUUGGGACUGAGAGACGGCCCAGACUCCUACGGGAGGCAGCAGUGGGGAAUAUUGCACAAUGGGCGGAAGCCUGAUGCAGCAACGCCGCGUGCGGGAUGACGGCCUUCGGGUUGUAAACCGCUUUCGCCUGUGACGAAGCGUGAGUGACGGUAAUGGGUAAAGAAGCACCGGCUAACUACGUG